rnacentral:rRNA from 1 species
AUACAGAGGGUGCAAGCGUUAAUCGGAUUUACUGGGCGUAAAGCGCGCGUAGGUGGCUAAUUAAGUCAAAUGUGAAAUCCCCGAGCUUAACUUGGGAAUUGCAUUCGAUACUGGUUAGCUAGAGUAUGGGAGAGGAUGGUAGAAUUCCAGGUGUAGCGGUGAAAUGCGUAGAGAUCUGGAGGAAUACCGAUGGCGAAGGCAGCCAUCUGGCCUAAUACUGACACUGAGGUGCGAAAGCAUGGGGAGCAAACAGGAUUAGAUACCCUGGUAGUCCAUGCCGUAAACGAUGUCUACUAGCCGUUGGGGCCCUUGAGGCUUUAGUGGCGCAGCUAACGCGAUAAGUAGACCGCCUCGGGAGUACGGUCGCAAGACUAAAACUCAAAUGAAUUGACGGGG